GGCUCUGUAGCUCAGUAGGUAGAGCAGAUGGCUGUUAACCAUCAGGUCGCGGGUUCGAGCCCCGCCGGUGCCUCAA
rnacentral:tRNA from 1 species